CUUUGCCUCAAUCCUGACUAGUCUUUCAGUUCCUGCUGCUGAAAAACAUCCCCACAGCAUAAUGCUGCCACCGCCAUGCUUCACUGUAGGGAUGUUGCCUGGUUUCCUCCAAACAUGACCCUUGGCAUUCACACCGAAGAGUUCAGACUUUAACUCAUCACACCAGA